AUGUCGCCUUUUCUUCAGCCCCGAGCAGCCGUGCCGCCAGAGCUCGCGAACCUUGCCGCCACCUCGACUCCUCCGUGUCCGGGACAUCAGGACGUCGCCGGCAUGCGGAACGAAGCCGCCCCAACUGGAUCCACGCCCUCCGCCAUCGCCCGCUCUCCCGCCAUUCUUCCUCACCUCGAAUUGGUUGCACCGGUAGCCGUCGUUGCCAGAUCCUACCUUGGUCGCCCGCUGGAAGAUCCAGCACCCUAUGCAUUGCCACAUCGCGCCUCUCACCGUCGAGGGCGGCAGGAACGACGGAGUCGUGCAUGUGUCGGCUCCUAUGUGGUGCGUGCGGAGCCACUAGCUCGUGGAACAGCUGCAGGCCUGGAGCACCCCUACCUCGAGCGGCACUCAUGCAUGGUUGGUGGUCGAGACAUCAUAGGAGCUUCAGCAGAGAAACAAGGCCGCCGAGCCAAAUUUGCUGAACCAGGCUACCAAGUUUGAGGUAAAAAAACUCAGCAGGGAAGUAUCUAUCCUGAAUUUUCUGCACUACAUAAAUUUACCCAUAGAAUAUAUCUCUAAUAGUACCCUGUCCAAAAUGUUAGUGCUAUUUCUGCAAUUUUGCAAGCCGAAUUUGUGCCAAGUGCAUUGCUUAAUAUAUCUCUAAUAGUAUAUGUCCAUUGCUAUUUCCGAGAUCUUCCAUCAAUUUCUAUUACAACAGAAAAAUGAUCCCUGUCAACAUAUAUAGUAUGCACUGGGAAAUCAUGAUUCAUGGGCAGCUGAUAUAUACAAUGGUUGAUAACAAUUACUUUAGGGUCUCCAUUCUACUAUUUUUUUACAUACUCAACAAAUUUGUGACAUCUUAUCUGGUAGAGAAAACAGUCCGAGAUAUUCUAUUCUUACCUACACAUAAUUCCGUAUUGAUGACUUAGCAUUCAACAUGAUUCAGUUUCUAGCUUGUAUACAUUAGUAUUAUUAUGAGCCACCUAAAAAGUUUUUGGGCUUUUAGUUUCAGUUAUAGUCAUGGACUGGGCACAAUUCACAGAAUAAGAAAAUGUAUCAAGCAUUAACUUUAUAUGCGUGAAGCAUUUUAUAAUGAAACGUUAUUCAGAUCUCUCUUUCAGAUCUCUCUUACAGAUCUCUCUUACAUGAAAAUUCUAAACAUUAUUCAGUACUGAGGACCAAAUUUAGAAAAUUCUAAACGAGUGGUGAGUUCAAUCAGGUGAAAAAUUGUAGGUCGAACAUGAAAGGAUGCACAUUCGUUUUUGAAGUUGAAAAUAACGUUUCAUGAAGCAAACUUGAGGUAUCAAUCAUGUCUCACUUUUUUUAUUUGUAUAAUUGGUUGACAUAUGAGAUGCCUUAGGCUGUCUCACAAUGAUACUCAUGAUUUUUUGCUGUGCAAAAAAAUACCUGCAGUACAAGAAAUUAUAAGAAGUACAUAGCAUCAAAACGAAACCAUCGUUGCUUUUUUUGGAUGGAAAUAGGUGAGAUCUAUUAAGCAAUAAUAGGUUAGGAAUGAUGGUUGCUGAUAACUAUACAUUUUUAUGGAUAGUCAUAUACCUGGAUGUCAUCCUUCAAACACGAAUACCUGAAUUCUUAUAGCACAUAAAUGAUAUUGUUUAGUUCUCCUUUCUAGAGUCUCUUUUGCGUCAUGGUAUAUCUGCUAUCGAGAAUGAUGCUCAGAAAAUUCUUCGUUCCAUGCCAAAUGACAUUUUGUUUCGACUUGAUAACACCAGGUAACAUGGUGGAUGUCGCAAUACACAACAGUUAAACUGUAGCGACAUAGAUAUAUGAAAGGGCAAAUCAUCUUAGCUAUAGUGUAUGGAAAAAAGAGCAUAGAUUAAUGAUGCUGAGAGCUAGCUCUUUCCGCAUUAUCAUCUAUCUAUAGCUUUCAAGGACCAGUAAUUGUACGAUUGUAUCAUGUGAUUGGUACUACAAAAUUGACAAUCUUUGUGUAUUAAUAUCUUAAUUUCAAGAUGAAUUGGAGAAGGGAGUCUGCUCUACAUUUUCUAAUCUGUCAGUCAAUGUGUAAAUCUGGUAUUGAUGUACAGUUAUUAAUAAAGUUUUCUUUUACAGAUAUUCUGCUAAUGAUAGGAAGCGUGGUUUAAAACUGCUCUGGCUGGAGUUGUAUGCUUUGUGACUGAAGACUAGAGCUUGGUGUCAUGGUGACUUGCAGCCACUCCUGAUGGUCCUACCACCCAGCUUUUACUCUCUCGAAUUUCCUUAUUUUCAUAUUAACACUGCUAUUAGGGUCAAUAUAUGUUGUUUACUGCUCUAAUCAAGCUAUUGCUAGGAUUCCAUGUUUCCUACAUUGUAUUAUGCUGAUCAUUAGUAAUUCAACCUACAUUGUAUUAUACUGGUCAUUAGUGGAAUGUUGAUUCUGUGAUAAUCUUAAUACAUCCAUGGUUGUUGAGGAAAUAGGGAAAAUGUAUAAACUGGUGAAAUAUCACACAUUAACCUCCUCUUAGAUCUGAACUAAGAUCAUAUGGGUUCGGCCGUGCAUGUCCAUACAUAGUGCGUCAGGUUAAUGUGCCUGAAGCGUAAGGACUCAUGACAUAUUAACGAAGUGCACAUGUUGAGUUAAAAAGUGUACAUUUGUUUUUUCUAUUACGGAACAUUUGACAAUGUUUUGUUUUGAUCUUAAUCAAAAUGGUACAGAAGCAAGUCAAGGUUUAGUUACUGUAAUUUUACUUACUGUAAUUUCCACUCUGUUCUCUACAAGAAAAAUAAAUUAUGGAUAAAUUGCAGUGAUAAGCUAUCAAAAAGAGACGUACAUUUACUUAUAUUGCUCAAUAUUCAAUUGAUCGAUUAGUUUUUAGUUACAAAAGUGUGAUGUUUCAAAACUGAAAAACGAAAUAUUGGUUUAGUACCUAAUUACAAAACACAACUAAGCAUGGAAAUAAGUAGCUAAUUGUUUUGGCGUCACCUACUUAUGUAAUAUCUGUUCCCGUAUGCACAUUUCUUUCUAUUUUUCAGUUAUGUGACAUGAUUGUCUGAAGUUUAAUGCAACCCUCGAGAUGUUUCUUGACUAAAUGUCUAAAUUCAGUGCAACUAGGAUUUUCUCUAUGAGGUUGCAUCAGUAUAUUAUACUGGGCUUUUGAUUCAAAUACGAAUUUCUCCAACUAUGUUUUGUGCUCGGUGUAGUCUCUUCCUCGCAUUGGGGAAUUCAGAUGGUUAUCAGAAUCAAUUGGGGCAUGCUCUCAACAACAUCACUAUUCACAUGGUUGAGGUGGCAGAGCAGCUAAGCCAGACGGUGACCUCGCCCUGGAGAUGGAGGCGAGCCGCAGAGGGCCUUGCUACGGCAUUGUGAAGGAAAUCAAUAAUUACUUAUUUCCAGUUUGUUGUUUUAUAAUCGGUAGCACCUGUAUUUACUCAAUAAACGAGAAAGUCCGAUGCAUUGCUCAUGAUCCCCUUUUGUGGGGUUGUAAUCUUGAUGAAGAAAGAAAUGUAUAUUUGCGUUGUAAAAUGUUUCUUUGCCCUUUGGUGGUCUGGCCAUGCAAAACACUCAAUUAUUAAUGAGCAUAUUUUCUCCUCGCUACUACACAACAUAUGUUGCUUUACUUUGGUGUUGUUAACCAAGCUCUUCUCAACUGAGCUGAGAGCAUGCCGAAUUUAAUAAAAAAUCCAAUACUGAUUUGAUUCAGAAGCAUUUAGGAAGUGCAUACAAUUUGAUGAGCAUGGCAAUUCUCAAAGUGUAUUUUUUAAAUUUCUUCAAUUGCAUUCAUGUGUGAUAAAAAUUUGGAGUUUGUUUAUGAUGAUAUUAUUACUAGCCCGUGCAGGUGCACGGGUGGGUGUGCCCAAUAUUGUGACUGGGACAAUGUGGUGGAGACAAAUUACCAGACUAUAUAUGAUCACAUGUUAACAACGAUUAUUUAUCCUUCCAAGCCUGCAGUCUGACCAAGGUGUUAAGAGUAAGGACCCUCCAACUAAUGUCUUUAUAUACCAUGGAUGUGACAUUUC